rnacentral:rRNA from 1 species
GACCGAUAGUGAACCAGUACCGUGAGGGAAAGGUGAAAAGCACCCCGGGAGGGGAGUGAAAUAGAACCUGAAACCGUGUGCCUACAACAAGUUCGAGCCCGUUAAUGGGUGAGAGCGUGCCUUUUGUAGAAUGAACCGGCGAGUUACGAUAUGAUGCGAGGUUAAGUUGAAGAGACGGAGCCGUAGGGAAACCGAGUCUUAAUAGGGCGCAUUAGUAUCAUGUCGUAGACCCGAAACCAUGUGACCUACCCAUGAGCAGGUUGAAGGUGAGGUAAAACUCACUGGAGGACCGAACCAGGGCACGUUGAAAAGUGCUUGGAUGACUUGUGGGUAGCGGAGAAAUUCCAAACGAACUUGGAGAUAGCUGGUUCUCUCCGAAAUAGCUUUAGGGCUAGCGUCGAUGUUAAGUCUCUUGGAGGUAGAGCACUGUUUGGGUGAGGGGUCCAUCCCGGAUUACCAAUCUCAGAUAAACUCCGAAUGCCAACGAGAUAUAAUCGGCAGUCAGACUGCGAGUGCUAAGAUCCGUAGUCGAAAGGGAAACAGCCCAGACCACCAGCUAAGGUCCCAAAAUAUAUGUUAAGUGGAAAAGGAUGUGGGGUUGCACAGACAACUAGGAUGUUAGCUUAGAAGCAGCUAUUCAUUCAAAGAGUGCGUAAUAGCUCACUAGUCGAGUGACCCUGCGCCGAAAAUGUACCGGGGCUAAAACAUAUUACCGAAGCUGUGGAUACCUUUAUAGGUAUGGUAGGAGAGCGUUCUAUGUGCGAAGAAGGUGUACCGUGAGGAGUGCUGGAGCGCAUAGAAGUGAGAAUGCCGGUAUGAGUAGCGAAAGACAGGUGAGAAUCCUGUCCACCGUAAGACUAAGGUUUCCAGGGGAAGGCUCGUCCGCCCUGGGUUAGUCGGGACCUAAGGAGAGACCGAAAGGUGUAUCCGAUGGACAACAGGUUGAUAUUCCUGUACUAGAGUAUAUAGUGAUGGAGGGACGCAGUAGGCUAACUAAACCAGACGAUUGGAAGUGUCUGGCCAAGCAGUGAGGUGUGAUAUGAGUCAAAUGCUUAUAUCUAUAACAUUGAGCUGUGAUGGGGAGCGAAGUUUAGUAGCGAAGUUAGUGAUGUCACACUGCCGAGAAAAGCUUCUAGCGUUAAUUAUACUCUACCCGUACCGCAAACCGACACAGGUAGUCGAGGCGAGUAGCCUCAGGUGAGCGAGAGAACUCUCGUUAAGGAACUCGGCAAAAUGGCCCCGUAACUUCGGGAGAAGGGGCGCUGACUUAUGGUCAGCCGCAGUGAAUAGGCCCAAGCAACUGUUUAUCAAAAACACAGCUCUCUGCUAAAUCGUAAGAUGAUGUAUAGGGGGUGACGCCUGCCCGGUGCUGGAAGGUUAAGAGGAGUGCUUAGCAAUAGCGAAGGUAUGAAUUGAAGCCCCAGUAAACGGCGGCCGUAACUAUAACGGUCCUAAGGUAGCGAAAUUCCUUGUCGGGUAAGUUCCGACCCGCACGAAAGGCGUAAUGAUUUGGGCACUGUCUCAACGAGAGACUCGGUGAAAUUUUAGUACCUGUGAAGAUGCAGGUUACCCGCGACAGGACGGAAAGACCCCAUGGAGCUUUACUGCAGUUUGAUAUUGAGUAUCUGUACCACAUGUACAGGAUAGGUAGGAGCCUAUGACCUCGGGACGCCAGUUUCGAGUGAGGCGUUGUUGGGAUACUACCCUUGUGUUAUGGCUACUCUAACCCAGAUAGGUUAUCCCUAUCGGAGACAGUGUCUGACGGGCAGUUUGACUGGGGCGGUCGCCUCCUAAAAGGUAACGGAGGCGCCCAAAGGUUCCCUCAGAAUGGUUGGAAAUCAUUCGCAGAGUGUAAAGGUAUAAGGGAGCUUGACUGCGAGAGCUACAACUCGAGCAGGGACGAAAGUCGGGCUUAGUGAUCCGGUGGUUCCGCAUGGAAGGGCCAUCGCUCAACGGAUAAAAGCUACCC